AGCAAAUGAUGAAGAUGAAUAUUUGCUAUCUGAGUGAUAAUUGCUGACAUGACAUCCACCAAGAUCGCUGAUGCU